GAUGAACGCUGGCGAUAGGCUUAACACAUGCAAGUCGAGCGGCAGCAUGGUCUUAGCUUGCUCAGACUGAUGGCGACCGGCGCACGGGUGCGUAACGCGUAUGCAACUUGCCUCACAGAGGGGGAUAACCCGUCGAAAGACGGACUAAUACCGCGUACACUUGGGAUAGGGCAUCCUGACCCAAGGAAAUUAAAUUCGCUGUGUGAUAGGCAUGCGUCACAUUAGCUAGUUGGUGAGGGAACGGCUCACCAAGGCGACGAUGGGUAGGGGAACGGAGAGGUUGAAACACUGGAACGGUACUGAGGCACGGACGACAAUGGUAGGGAAGGCAGCAGAAAGGAAGACUGGUGGCUGAACGAGGGCCCGACCAAGCCAAGUCGCGUGAAGGAUGACUGGGUUAGGGAUUGCAAACUUCUGUGAAACAAGAACAGCAAGAGUAACGCGUGCUUCUCUGAAUGUACCGAAUGAAUAAGCAUCGGCUAACUUCGUG
rnacentral:rRNA from 1 species